CCCUUAGAUGUUCUGAGCCGCACGCGCGCUACACUGACGAAUGCAACGAGCUUAUAACCUUGGCCGAAAGGUCUGGGUAAUCUCCAAAUUUCGUCGUGAUGGGGAUAGAUUAUUGCAAUUAUUAAUCUUCAACGAGGAAUGCCUAGUAAGCGCAAGUCAUCAGCUUGCGUUGAUUACGUCCCUGCCCUUUGUACACACCGCCCGUCGCUCCUACCGAUUGAAUGGUCCGGUGAAGCGUUCGGACCGUGGCCUUUGGACGGUUCGCCGUCUGUUGGCUGCGGGAAGUUCGUUAAACCUUAUCAUUUAGAGGAAGGAGAAGUCGUANCA
rnacentral:rRNA from 1 species